rnacentral:tRNA from 1 species
UAGAAAAUAGCUCGGUUGGUAGAGAGCGAUUGAUAUCUAAUCAAUAGGUCCCUAGUUCGAAUCUAGGUUUUCUAGCUA